GAUGAACGCUGGCGGCGUGCCUAAUACAUGCAAGUCGAGCGAACGGACGAGAAGCUUGCUUCUCUGAUGUUAGCGGCGGACGGGGGAGUAACAUGUGGAUAACCUACCUAUAAGACUGGGAUAAUUUCGGGAAACCGGAGCUAAUACCGGAUAAUAUUUUGAACCGCAUGGUUCAAAAGUGAAAGACGGUCUUGCUGUCACUUAUAGAUGGAUCCGCGCUGCAUUAGCUAGUUGGUAAGGUAACGGCUUACCAAGGCAACGAUGCAUAGCCGACCUGAGCGCGUGAUCGGCCACACGGGAACUGAGACACGGUCCAGACUCCUACGGGAGGCAGCAGUAGGGAAUCUUCCGCAAUGGGCGAAAGCCUGACGGAGCAACGCGGCGUGAGUGAUGAAGGUCUUCGGAUCGGAAAACUCUGUUAUUAGGGAAGAACAUAUGUGUAAGUAACUGUACACAUCUUGACGGUACCUAAUCAGAAAGCCACGGCUAACUACGUG
rnacentral:rRNA from 1 species